UUUAUAAGGUUGCUGGUCUCAAGUGGUGAGUUUGAACAUAUAUCAUAACCUUUGUGUGUUAGAUUGGUGUUCCGGUUCCAAAAAAUAUUAAACACUUCAAAUCUUAGUUGGUUAAUCAAGUCAAUGAUCAUAUAAAUAACUCAAUCAAAUCUUUCAUGGGCUGCGUUGGGAAAUCUCUUUUCAAGUAGGGUUAGUAGAUGUAGGCCACUCAACCGCGCCGCCCUACUGCCUACACUCGAACUCCUCUUGCUCGGGACCACCUCCAGUCAGAACGUUCCAGCAACCUCAUUCACAGCUGUGUCGAUUCAUCCCGUACUUCCUCUCGCUGGGUUCGCUUUCAUGGUUGGAUGCUACAACCCUACGAAGUUCAGCUGUCAUCUAUCUCCCUAUCUCUAUUUUCGUAAAUGAUGGUACUUUCAACCUCCAUCAACCUUUCGAAACAGCUGUGGCUUCUACUUUACAGGCUGUGCGUCUAAACCCUACCUCCCUAUCUAAUUCCUUUACAGCUUGUCUGAGUGCACUCUCUUUCUGUUGAAACCUGUAUUGGUGAUAUGGGUGGGCUUUGCACGGGUUUAAUUCCAUUACCUAUGUUGUUUACAUGUCUCUCUGUCUGGGUCUUGGAAUUUUGUUCUGAAUUUUCUUCCACUUGCCUAUCAUAAUCUUCACUCAGGUCAUGUUUUUGUAUUCAUCAUGGGUUAAUCACUUAAUUGGCUCAUUUGCAAUAUUUGUUUUGUUCUAUGGGUUAAUUGGUAAGGCACAUAGAUAAAGUGUCAUUAUUAAAAUAGAAUUUGGAAUCAUCUCUGUUGCAAGGAUUGAAUCAGAAUAUCAAGAGAAAGGUUCCUAUUCUUGGAACGGCUUUAUUGAAUAUUGCUGAAUUUGCAUCUCCCACUUAGCAAAAGGAUUUUGAUAUAAACAUUCCUCUCACACGACCUGGGGGUUCUGUGGAGCCUUCUCCUUCACUUUGUAUAUCAAUUAGCUUGGAGUCAGUACAUAGAACAAUAGUGCCUGUCUCAUCACCCCCAGCCCAGUCAGGAGAAACUACAAUGGCAGAAAAGGGUUAUGAGCUUUCUGCAAUUAAAGCUGGUCUUAGGAAAGUAAAGAUUUUUACAGAAUAUGAAGGCGAAAAAGGCAGGCUCUGAGGAAGAGGGAAGUGAAGGCAAGUGCUCUAGGAGUAGUGAGGAUGGCUUUUCUUGCAGCUCCUUGCUUUGAGCUGUGUUUUCAGGGGAAAAGUUGGGCUUUUGAGAACUGUUGUAGCUAUUAAACAGUUGGACAAUGAAGACAAUGAUAGAGUUAAAUUACCCUACCGGGAUAGAAGUAAUACUAUUACAAAUGAGAUAUCUGGAGAAAUUAGUGCAUUGGAGAAUCUGAAUGAUGCUGCAUAUGGUUUUGAAGAGGUAAUGUGAACCUACAAGAGAAAGAAGUAGGAACCUCUUUAAUGGAUACUGCAGACAGCAAUCUUAGUGCCACAUUAACCCGAGUUGUCAUCACUGAAAGAAAGUAACAAAUCAAUGGAAAGCGAACUUUAAGAAGAACUGUCAACAGUCAAUUGUUUUCAAGACAAGAAGAAAAUGCACUUGAUAUAGAACACAAACCUUUAGCUUCAAAUGUUUGAUCAUUUCAAUGGUACUAAUAAUGUUUGGUGGUUUUAGCUAAUAAUUUCUUUGUGAAUCUUAUGGAUCGUGCUACUAAUACUUAUUUUCAAAUUGUUGUAGAUGUUGAUUAUGAUUAUUGUUGGAUUGACUUGUGAUUCCCAUGCAUGCUUCUUUGGUCCAAGUCCAACACAUGUUGCAAACUGCUAUUGAUUAUUAGGACUGAUCUUUCUGUGCUUU